UACGUAGGGUGCGAGCGUUUGUCCGGAAUUAUUGGGCGUAAAGAGCUUGUAGGCGGUCUGUCGCGUCUGCUGUGAAAAUCCGGGGCUUAACCCCGGACUUGCAGUGGGUACGGGCAGACUAGAGUGUGGUAGGGGAGACUGGAAUUCCUGGUGUAGCGGUGAAAUGCGCAGAUAUCAGGAGGAACACCGAUGGCGAAGGCAGGUCUCUGGGCCACUACUGACGCUGAGAAGCGAAAGCGUGGGGAGCAAACAGG
rnacentral:rRNA from 1 species